GUCCACGCCGUAAACGAUGGAUACUAGCUGUUCGGAGCAAUCUGAGUGGCUAAGCGAAAGUGAUAAGUAUCCCACCUGGGGAGUACGUUCGCAAGAAUGAAACUCAAAGGAAUUGACGGGGGCCCCGCACAAGCGGAGGAGCAUGUGGUUUAAUUCGAUGAUACGCGAGGAACCUUACCAGGGCUUAAAUGGGAGACGACAGGACUGGAAACAGUUUUUUCUUCGGACGUCUUUCAAGGUGCUGCAUGGUUGUCGU
rnacentral:rRNA from 1 species